rnacentral:rRNA from 1 species
CCUACGGGGGGCUGCAGUGGGGAAUAUUGCACAAUGGGGGAAACCCUGAUGCAGCAACGCCGCGUGAAUGAUGACGGCCUUCGGGUUGUAAAGUUCUUUGAUUGGGGACGAAAAUGACGGUACCCAAAAAACAAGCCACGGCUAACUACGUGCCAGCAGCCGCGGUAAUACGUAGGUGGCGAGCGUUGUCCGGAUUUACUGGGCGUAAAGGAUGCGUAGGUGGUAACUUAAGUGGGAUGUGAAAUCCCCGGGCUCAACCCGGGAACUGCAUUCCAAACUGAGUAACUAGAGUGCAGGAGAGGAAAGCGGAAUUCCUAGUGUAGCGGUGAAAUGCGUAGAUAUUAGGAGGAACACCAGUGGCGAAGGCGGCUUUCUGGACUGUAACUGACACUGAGGCAUGAAAGCGUGGGGAGCAAACAGGCUUAGAUACCCCGGUAGUC